GACGAACGCUGGCGGCGUGCUUAACACAUGCAAGUCGAGCGAUGAAACACCUUCGGGUGCGGAUUAGCGGCGAACGGGUGAGGAACACGUGAGGAAUCUGCCUUCCACUCUGGGAUAACUCCGGGAAACCGGGGCUAAUACCGGAUACUUUCAACUGGCGGCAUCGCCGGUUGAAGAAAGUUCUUCGGUGGAAGAUGACCUCGCGGCCUAUCAGCUUGUUGAUGAGGUAAAGGCUCACCAAGGCGACGACGGGUAGCCGGCCUGAGAGGGCGGCCGGCCACACUGGGACUGAGACACGGCCCAGACGCCUACGGGAGGCAGCAGUGGGGAAUAUUGGGCAAUGGAGGAAACUCUGACCCAGCGACGCCGCGUGAGGGAUGAAGGCCUUCGGGUUGUAAACCUCUUUCAGCAGGGAAUAAGCGAAAGUGAAGGUACCUGCAGAAGGAGCACCGGCUAACUAUGUGCCAGCCGCCGCCGUAA
rnacentral:rRNA from 1 species